UACCCUAGGGUUUUGGCUUAGGGUUCGAAAAGUGAGAACGUGAGUUUCGAGUGCCGUGUGCUCACCAAACUUUACGGAGAGCAUCAUCAACCUCUCAAGUGCAUCUGCUGAUGAUCCGGACUAUCCAAAGAGUCGGCAGAUCAAGAUCGAAAGAGUUCGAUCAACAUCGGCCAUCAAAAGGGUUCAGCCAUGAACUAGCAUUCAUGAGGAGCCAAUCAGAUCGGAAGCUUCAUGUGAACGAUCCAUGGAGGUCAGACACACUGUGUGACUGUGUUGCAAUG
rnacentral:lncRNA from 1 species